UAUUUAAUUUAGUUAGCAUUACUCAAAAUGCAUGCUAGUGUUAAUUUUAUAAUUUAUACGCUUCAAUAUUUUUUUAAAAAUAAUCUGCUGUUGAGAUUACCGCAACAGGCUCAAAAAGUAGUAAUUGGCAUAACAUUUGACCAGAGCAAUGAGUUCCCUUACGUUCGCUUAUGUUGCUUUGCAUGCAUCGCUGGCGGUCGAAGAGUAGAUUGACCCAGCCGAAUAAGUCUAUUGACCUAUUGCGUCACUGGGAGAGUUUCCUUUUUCUCUCUAUCCUCGGGGAUGGGAUACUGGAUGCUGGGUGGAAGAUGCACGCUAGAAGAAGAUGACUUUGCCGAAACUGCAACCUUCGGGCUUUUAGCGUGGGCAAUGAUCCUCGCGAGACAGGUUCCGGUAACUAAGUUACCGUGGACGGUUGAUCUGAGGGAUCCCAAUGCCUGAUCUUUCAUUCUUAGCUGACAAGUGUAAGAGGCAGGAUCAACCUGCAGUUUAGAGUUCCGCGCGUGUACUAAGACAGAUAGCCUUUUCCCGCUAAAUAGCUAGGCAAAUCAGUGCAUGUGCGAAAUAGGAGAAAGUGUGCAAAGUGAGCAAGGAGUAUCGCUGCUAGUCAUCAUCCACUACACUUUCGUCAGCCCCAGCAGCAUUCCUAUGCAACACGAGCAUCGUCAAACGUUUAUGCCUGUACGGAACAGGCCGAAGGACCAAUAAUCGGCACCACUACCCUUGAUGAUCUCACCCGUCUACUGAUCGAAGCGCACGCUGUGCGCUGCCAGACAGCAGAGCAGACAACCGAGGAGACAAUAGGCGAGACGACAGAGUGACAACCCCCGUUUUUGACCCAGCGUGGCGCUGGUAGCGUACCGAAAGGAGUUCGGUAAAGGAGCACCCGCGUGGCGCGGAGCAACAAGUGAAGCCGCAGAGCAGCAGUAAGCAGGCAUGGCGGCUACGCCAAAGUAAAACCUCAUGUAAG